AAUUCAGGUGUCAUCGACCUGGGAAUGGAAGACAAAGCUUGGAAAUGUAGUGGUGAUGUCCCUGCACACAUGUACUGGAGAGUCAUGUUCUUCAGCAAAGAGGGAUGACGAAGAACCAGAUUGCGCCACUCUUCUUUAUCAAUUCUUCCAUCAUGCUUUGUGUCUGCCUCCUCAAAUGUCUUAUCGAUUAUGCUCUCUAUAAUUUCAUCAGAAAGAUUCAUUCCAGACUCAGCAAGUGUAGCAACAACCAUCUGCUUAACCUGAUAAAUCAAUUUUAUAAACUAUAGAUGAAUACGUCUGAACUCACAGUCAAUCUUCUCAUCAAGUGGAGCACUUGGAUGAAAUACUGAGAGUGCACGAGCAAAUUCAUCAAAUCCUAAAAUUCCAUUGUGUUUUGUGUCAAACAAAUCAAAUACCCGGUCGGCGAACAGGCUCUCCUUCUUGCUGGUCUUGAACAGCGCCAACUGAAACUCCUCCUGCACAAGCCCGUCAUCAAUCACAGCACUGCUUAUCUUCUUGAAGAGCUCGUACAGCGCCUCGACCUCGCUCACGCUGAAGACGGUCUCCCUCGCGAGGACCUGGGGAUCCUCGAGCCCCCGCGGCUGCUUCAGCUCGAGGUCGCAGCACUUGAACACGACCGCCAGCAGCUGCCUCACCCCGUCGAGACACUGCACCAUGAUAC
rnacentral:sRNA from 1 species